ACAGUCACAUCAGGUUGAAACACCGGUGUCCGAACGAUCACGGAAGUUAAGCAACGUCGAGUCUAGCUAGUAAGUAGAUGGGUGUCCGCUUGGGAAUACCAGGUGAUGUAAGC